AUUGAACGCUGGCGGCAUGCCUUACACAUGCAAGUCGAACGGCAGCACGGGAGCAAUCCUGGUGGCGAGUGGCGAACGGGUGAGUAAAGUAUCGGAACGUGCCCAGUCGUGGGGGAUAACGUAGCGAAAGUUACGCUAAUACCGCAUACGAUCUAUGGAUGAAAGCGGGGGAUCGCAAGACCUCGCGCGAUUGGAGCGGCCGAUAUCAGAUUAGGUAGUUGGUGGGGUAAAGGCUCACCAAGCCGACGAUCUGUAGCUGGUCUGAGAGGACGAACGGCCACACUGGGACUGAGACACGGCCCAGACUCCUACGGGAGGCAGCAGUGGGGAAUUGUGGACAAUGGGCGAAAGCCUGAUCCAGCCAUGCCGCGUGCAGGAUGAAGGCCUUCGGGUUGUAAACUGCUUUUGUACGGAACGAAAAGGUUUGGCCUAAUAAGCUGAGCUCAUGACGGUACCGUAAGAAUAAGCACCGGCUAACUACGUGCCAGCAGCCGCCGUAA
rnacentral:rRNA from 1 species